rnacentral:rRNA from 1 species
AGGAUGAACGCUGGCGGCGUGCUUAACACAUGCAAGUCGAACGGUGAAGUGAGGAGCUUGCUCCUUGCGGAUCAGUGGCGAACGGGUGAGUAACACGUGAGUAACCUGCCCUUGACUCUGGGAUAAGCACUGGAAACGGUGUCUAAUACCGGAUACGACCUCCGAAGGCAUCUUCUGGAAGUGGAAAGAAUUUCGGUCAAGGAUGGACUCGCGGCCUAUCAGCUAGUUGGUGAGGUAACGGCCCACCAAGGCGACGACGGGUAGCCGGCCUGAGAGGGUGACCGGCCACACUGGGACUGAGACACGGCCCAGACUCCUACGGGAGGCAGCAGUGGGGAAUAUUGCACAAUGGGCGCAAGCCUGAUGCAGCAACGCCGCGUGAGGGACGACGGCCUUCGGUUGUAACCUCUUUAGUAGGGAAGAAGCGAAGUGACGGUACCUGACAGAAAAGCACCGGCUAACUACGUGCCAGCAGCCGCGGU